rnacentral:lncRNA from 1 species
UAGCUUUCCGAGUGACUUGCCCUUACCUUGAAGUACUUUAUUCAGCUUUUUGCACUUUUAAUUUUACUUGAACAAGUCACCAACCUUUUGACGUGAAGGUACAUAUUUGUGAUACCCACCCCCAGUUACUUAGUUGGUCACCUGUCCAAGUGGCUACUAGCUCUGUUCAUAGUCUUUUGACCAUUGGAACAUUUUUCAAUUUGUUCUUUUGAAGUCUAAGCCUUUG